UACGUAGGCAGCAAGCGUUGUUCGGAGUUACUGGGCGUAAAGAGUGCGUAGGCGGCCCUGUAAGUCCGCUGUGAAAGUCAAAGGCUCAACCUUUGAAAGCCGGUGGAUACUGCAGGGCUAGAGUCCGGAAGAGGCGAGUGGAAUUCCUGGUGUAGCGGUGGAAUGCGCAGAUAUCAGGAGGAACACCAAUAGCGAAGGCAGCUCGCUGGGACGGUACUGACGCUAAGGCGCGAAAGCGUGGGGAGCGAACAGG
rnacentral:rRNA from 1 species